rnacentral:rRNA from 1 species
GACGAACGCUGGCGGCGUGCUUAACACAUGCAAGUCGAACGGAAAGGCCCUGCUUUUGUGGGGUGCUCGAGUGGCGAACGGGUGAGUAACACGUGAGUAACCUGCCCUUGACUUUGGGAUAACUUCAGGAAACUGGGGCUAAUGCCGGAUAGGAGCUCCUGCUGCAUGGUGGGGGUUGGAAAGUUUCGGCGGUUGGGGAUGGACUCGCGGCUUAUCAGCUUGUUGGUGGGGUAGUGGCUUACCAAGGCUUUGACGGGUAGCCGGCAUGAGAGGGUGACCGGCCACAUUGGGACUGAGAUACGGCACAGACUCCAACGGGAGGCAGCAGUGGGGAAUAUUGCACAAUGGGCGGAAGCCUGAUGCAGCAACGCCGCGUGCGGGAUGACGGCCUUCGGGUUGUAAACCGCUUUCGCCUGUGACGAAGCGUGAGUGACGGUAAUGGGUAAAGAAGCACCGGCUAACUACGUG